rnacentral:rRNA from 1 species
UACGAAGGGAGCUAGCGUUGUUCGGAAUCACUGGGCGUAAAGCGUAAGUAGGCGGAAAAGUAAGUUAGGUGUGAAAUCCUUGUUUUCAAGACAAGAACUGCACUUAAAACUGCUUAUCUAGAGUACAGAAGGGGAUGAUGAAAUUCCAAGUGUAGCAGUAAAAUGCGUAGAUAUUUGGAGGAACACCAGAAGCGAAGGCGUUCAUCUGGUCUGAUACUGACGCUGAGGUGCGAAAGUGUGGGGAGCAAACAGG